rnacentral:rRNA from 1 species
GACGAACGCUGGCGGCGUGCCUAAUACAUGCAAGUUGAGCGCCGAAGGUUGGUACUUGUACCCACUGGAUGAGCAGCGAACGGGUGAGUAACGCGUGGGGAAUCUGCCUUUGAGCGGGGGACAACAUUUGGAAACGAAUGCUAAUACCGCAUAAAAACUUUAAACACAAGUUUUAAGUUUGAAAGAUGCAAUUGCAUCACUCAAAGAUGAUCCCGCGUUGUAUUAGCUAGUUGGUGAGGUAAAGGCUCACCAAGGCGAUGAUACAUAGCCGACCUGAGAGGGUGAUCGGCAACAUUGGGACUGAGACACGGCCCAAACUCCUACGGGAGGCAGCAGUAGGGAAUCUUCGGCAAUGGACGAAAGUCUGACCGAGCAACGCCGCGUGAGUGAAGAAGGUUUUCGGAUCGUAAAAAUCUGUUGGUAGAGAAGAACGUUGGUGAGAGUGGAAAGCUCAUCAAGUGACGGUAACUACCCAGAAAGGGACGGCUAACUACGUG